rnacentral:misc_RNA from 1 species
GUUUUAUGUAAAAUUUUUAUUCAUAGAUAUAAACAUCCAGGGAUUCUUCUUCUCUACUUCUUUCAGAUUUGGAGUAGAAAGAUGAAGCUUUUAUAGACAGUAGUAAACUAAAAAUCAGGUACUGAGCUUCCUGCCUUAAACACCAAACAUCUCUUCUUUUACUUAUCCUAACCAAAAUUCCUCUAAACUAAAAAUAAACACAUUUACAGAACAGGAUUGAAAAUCAUGGACUGAGAAAAUGAUAAAAGAUAAUAUAAUUCCUAGAGAGAAUCAUUUCUAAGCACACACAACUCUGAUUAAACAGACCCAUUUUCCCGCCCUUCAUUUUAGGAUGGUUCAAUUCUCAGAGCGCGGAAAUUUUCCUUCAUCUGAAGAUUUCCUCGUCAAUUCAAGAGAUUUCUCGUGCGAGGGAUCGCUCACUGAUCUUGAUAGCAUGGAGGAAUCCGAAUCUCUAGAGGCAUUGAAUGAUCUUUUGCAGUGCAGAAUGGCGCUCUGGAUCCCAUCCUGCUGCUGCAACAGCGAAUCAUCUCUCCUCCUUGACAUUACCUGAGCUGAAGGAGCCGCCGCCGCCACCGCAGAAGACGCUGAACGACUUUUCCCUAAAUGUUUACACACAAUUCUCAGCCCCGUUGGCAAGUUUCCUUGUUUCACGCUUCUCGCAUUGCUCACUUGAGGCGCUUCUCCAAUUUCAGUCUCCGGUUGGCUCUUCUCGGCUGACGUCGUUGAUUUCGACGGUGAAGAUUUCUGCGCUGAAGAUACCGUGGAAGGCGGCGGCGGAGAAGGAGAAGAUGCUUUCAGUCCAGAGCCUAAGCUCAGUUGGCCAGAGAAUCUCAGUUUCUCUGCGUACCGUUUCGAAACGCGAAUGUAAAGAGGCUUCACCUUCUUCAAGUAUCUCUGCAUUACGUCUUUCGAAAACCGCUUCUCAUCUGAAGCGGAGGAGGCGGCUUUUUCCUCUGUAUUAUUCUGCUUCCGCGAGGACUUGACGCUUUUACUGUUCUCUUUAGUGAAGAAAGAAACUAGAGGAACCUCCUCGACCUUGAACUUGACGGUGAAGAACUUGCUCUGUUUGGUGGCCUCCUCUCCUUUCUCUUCCUGUUUCUGUUGUUGCUGUUUGGGAGUAGGAGAAGCAGCAGAUUCAUUAACCUCGGCGGCUUUCUCCGUUGCGUUCAUUUUUGACUUCUUGAACCCCAACAUGAACACUCUUAACUUGGUGGCUGAUUUCAAGAAAGAAACAGGGAACUGAGGCUUCGAACUAGGCUCUAAGCCAUUGAGAACCAGGGAGGAGGGCUCGAUAGGCACAAGUCUCCCUUUGAAAAACAAAUCAUCAGAAGGUGAAAGUGUAAGAUUUUGAUCCAUACGGUCGUUGCUAGAACCAGAAGAGAGAGUGAAGUUGAACUCCGUCUCCCCGUCUGUAUCUUCCCCAUCGUCGUCUUCGUUAUCCUCCUCAGAAAUGUCUCCAUUAAUUACUUUCUUCUCAUCUCUGUCUUCUUCUCCUUCCUCGUCGUCAGGUACAGCGAACUCUAAGUCAAAAAAGGGACCGUCAUCGUCAUCAUCAUCGUCGGUUUCAACAGCGUUCUGCGCGACGGUAGUGAGGAUAGUAGUGGAGCGUGAGUUAACACCGGAAUCUCUAGCGCCAACAACGACACCACCGCCGCCGCCCCUCCAGUAUUUGAGCAAGCUAAAAGCUUCCAUGGUUGGGAGAGCCAGCCCAGAAUAAUCAGUAGAAAAGGUAAAAAUUAAUAUGAGUUGAUGUUAGAAAGAUAGAGAGCAGCAAGGGCAAGGAAGGAAAGAGGGGUUGGUAUUGAUUUGAGGGGUACUCAGUAGAAUGGGAGUUGCAGGAGAGUACUACUGAAAAUGGGGUGACAGAGUAAGCAGAGAGGGGUAAGCUUUUUUUCCCACAGAAGAAAGAGAGCUCUGGCUUUUAUUUUGUCUAGAUUCGGGGAGGUUGCAGGUUAGUCAUGUGAGAUCAGUCUGCGAGUCUGAAAUGUAUACGGAUACGG